GCGCCGGUAGUGCAAUCGGUUGAGCACGCGUCCUCCGAAAGGGCAUAAUGCGGGUUCAGUCCCGCCUGACGUCA